ACAAGGGUAUGUGUAUACUAAAAUUAGAACAGUGCAGAUAUUAAUAUGGUCUCUGUACAAGAAUGACAUGCAAAUUCAUGAAACAUUCCAUAUUUUU
rnacentral:snRNA from 1 species